rnacentral:rRNA from 1 species
UGAGCAAUCUGCCCUUCACAUCGGAAUAACCAUUGGAAACGAUGGCUAAUACCGAAUAUGACUUCGGAUCGCAUGAUCUGAAGUGGAAAGCUCCGGCGGUGAAGGAUGAGCUCGCGGCCUAUCAGCUUGUUGGUGAGGUAAUAGCUCACCAAGGCGAUGACGGGUAGCCGGCCUGAGAGGUGACCGGCCACACGUGGGACUGAGACACCGGCACGUACCG